GCGGUACAGCUCAAUGGUAGAGCAUCUUCUUCACAUGCAGAGGGUCCCAGGAUCAAUCCCUCACAUCUCCA